rnacentral:rRNA from 1 species
GACGAACGCUGGCGGCGUGCUUAACACAUGCAAGUCGAACGGAAAGGCCCUGCUUUUGUGGGGUGCUCGAGUGGCGAACGGGUGAGUAACACGUGAGUAACCUGCCCUUGACUUUGGGAUAACUUCAGGAAACUGGGGCUAAUACCGGAUAGGAGCUCCUGCUGCAUGGUGGGGGUUGGAAAGUUUCGGCGGUUGGGGAUGGACUCGCGGCUUAUCAGCUUGUUGGUGGGGUAGUGGCUUACCAAGGCUUUGACGGGUAGCCGGCCUGAGAGGGUUACCGGACACAUUGGGACUGAGAUACGGCACAGACUCCUACGGGAGGCAGCAGUGGGGAAUAUUGCACAAUGGGCGGAAGCCUGAUGCAGAAACGCCGCGUGCGGGAUGACGGCCUUCGGGUUGUAAACCGCUUUCGCCUGUGACGAAGCGUGAGUGACGGUAAUGGGUAAAGAAGCACCGGCUAACUACGUG